GUGACUCUUCUCUCUCCUCUGCUAUGUGCCUCCCUCCUUCCCCCAAGCAACAACCAGCCUGGAAAAGGGGAGAGGGAACCCCACUGCAGUCCCACCCCAGCCUGGGAAAGAGGGGUGAAGAACUUCAGAAGCUGAUGGAGGAGCAGAGGUUUUGGGACUACACUGGGAGAUGCUGAUUGAUUUCUGCCAACUCAUUGUGGCAAGCGUGGCUCGUCAACCUGUGUGGAUAUUAGUAAGGGAUCUGUAUGACAGUGGCAGAUGAACCUCCUGAGUUGUGUGUCCAGUUCAGUUCUGCCCCAGACAGAUUGGCAUCAGCGUGAGCGUGUUCAAUGGCCCAGGUGGUCAUCAUCUUUACAAUGGACCCACUGAAAUGAGACCGGUGUAACACUGUAUGAAUCAGCAGGACUUGUAGGGACAUGGUUAUGGACAGAGGACUCCAAGUUUUUCCAUGUCAUGUGCUGUGAAGCUUGUGUUUGGGAAAUAGGAAGUACAAGCCUCAUGUCAAAAGGAAUAUAAAGGGUAGCUGCAUCCUCUCCAUUUGGUCUUCAUUCCUGCUGCCUACCUCUGGAAUAACUUCUACAAAUGAAGCUCUGAACAAAGGACUGAAUGACCCAUCCAAGCUGUGGAUGUGCUCCAGAGGGACUUUCAAGCCAGCAAACUCACCAAUAUUGCUAAGACCCUGCUAUGUGGACUUUGAAGUCCCUGUAUGUAUCUAUCUGAUUGCU